rnacentral:ncRNA from 1 species
UCACCUUUUCUAUGUGCACCCGUUAACCGAGACCUAUGGGUGGAUAAAUUACGUCUCUCAUAUCCUGUAGUGAAGGGAUUACAGGAAAUAAAGUAUCGC